GGACGAGGGACCUCGAGCACUCGAAGAGAUAGCUGUUCCUGACACUGGGUCGACACGUCUCGAAGAACAGAUUGACUGCAUGGACUUCACUUGUGAUGUCACAGUAGAUUCCACUCAUUUGGACUGUUCACAGGACAAGACCGGUGCAAUGUUCAUCCCAGCUAUGCCCCAAACUUGGAAAGCUGCACAG